UCAGAGGUGUAGUCUUACAAAACAAUCAGACCUAAUUACGUUUUACACGUUUUAGACAUCUACGUUUUUAAAUAUAAACUAUGGCACUUUCACACUAAAGUACACAUGUAUCAUGUAUCAUGUAUAGGAGAAUUUUCUUGGACCAUAUUUUUGGCUCAUCCACAACUACAGAAAAUCCACAAGCGUAAGGUGUCUGCUGCUAAAGCUGUGGAAAAAAGCUCUCCGGAGACGGGAGCGGGAAUUGAUGUUGAAGAAGAGAGAGGAGGACUUGCGGAGGAAAGGGCCGCCGAUCUCAUAGAAGGUGAAGUACUACGGAUCUACAACGUACCUCGACGAUUCCAAAUCUUCAAUAUCCUUUUCGAUAAGGGAGUCGAGGAAAAAGCAAUACCUUGCCGUAGAAGAACGAUGCACUAGAUAUGUGUUUUGGGUGUUGUCCCAGGUAGAGAUCCACUUCUCGAUCCGAAGACACAUCUUUUGGGAACUAUUCGAAGAAGUGAGUUUGCUCAGGCUCCGCAGAGGUCGUGGUUUCCUAGUUAAAAUUGAAGUGGAAGCAGCAGAAGUUCUAGAUGAUGAAGAAUAAUUGCUGGUGUUUCGAGCAAGAGGCAAAACCAUUUCCAACUUGCGGUGAGAGUCUCGCCAAAUCCUACACCGGAGAGGGUCAAGCCAGGCGAGACCAAAAUUGUAUUGUAUAUAUCACAUAAUUGGUAUUUUUCCGUUUUAGUACUUUCGCCCCCAACUUUCCAUUUUAAUUAAGCUGAAAACGUAUACUGUA